rnacentral:rRNA from 1 species
GCACAAGCGGAGAACAUGUGGUUUAAUUCGAUGAUACGCGAGGGAACCUUUACCGUGGGCUUUAAAUGUAGAGUGCAUUUUUAGAGAUAGAAAUUCCCGUUCGGGGCUUUCUGCAAGGUGCUGCAUGGUUGUCGUCAGCUCGUGCCGUGAGGUGUCGGGUUAAGUCCCAUAACGAGCGCAACCCUUAUCGUUAGUUGCCAGCUGGUAAAGCAGGGGACUCUAGCGAAACUGCCACCGUAAGGUGAGAGGAAGGUGGGAUGACGUCAAAUCAGCACGGCCCUUAUGUCCAGGGCUACACACGUGUUACAAUGGCCGGCACAGAGGGCAGCUACCUGGUGACAGGAUGCUAAUCUCGAAAACCGGUCUCAGUUCGGAUCGAAGUCUGCAACUCGACUUCGUGAAGCUGGAUUCGCUAGUAAUCGCGCAUCAGCCAUGGCGCGGUGAAUACGUUCCCGGGCCUU